rnacentral:lncRNA from 1 species
UAAAAGAUAUAACAUUUAAUUAUAAUAUCAUUCAACUACCACAAAACCAAACCUAUCAGGUACAUGCCAAAUAUAAAUAAAGUUGGAAACAAACGAACAUUGUUGAGACCGGGAUUGUGGAUUGGAUGCUGAGGUCGAUGUUUAGAGAAUCUCAACUUCGUCUAACCUGCACAGAGGGGGACCAAACUGUACGUUGAGUAAGAUACUCAGUGGUAUUUCUAUAAUUUAAGUAUCUAAAUUAGCAUUAACAAUUCUACAGGAAGUAUAAAUGUAUGCCUAUAUACUCAUAUGUAUCUUAUUCUUAUAACUUGGUGUUACCAAGCUUUACAUUUUCAAUAUAAACAUUUCAUCAAACUUAUCAUAAUAACAUUUUCGAUCAUAUCGUUAUCAAAGUAUGCCCUUAUAGACCCUAUUUUUCCAAUUCACCCUUUUAAUAUCACCUAAUUCCUUUGUUUCAAUUCAUAUAGAAUCAUUUAUAGGUUUAGUACAAGUUUAUAGAAGCUCAAAUACUAUAACUUAUUGGAUAUUGUAUUUCAUACAAUAUCAUGUGCAAUUGUAAUUAAUUCAUCAAGAUCACUAGCAUCUUAGCAUAACAUACCAAGUCUAAAACCAUUUAUAAUUUAUGCCUAAGUAACCAUAUUCAACCACCAAUAUAUAAUCAUUUCAUUUCUAAUUUAAACUCAUACCAUUUGUGACAUAUAUAUUCACUGUAGCACCCCUCACCUAGUCUAGUUGCCAAACCCGAGCUAUAGGAUGUUACAACUAAUAAUAGAACAAUAAUAAGCAAAUUUGAAACCAAAAGUUUAAUAAAACAUUUAAUAGCAACAUACAUUCACACAAAUCAUGCUUUGAAAAAAAAUUGGGUUGUAAACUGAGCUUAUAAAAGCAUUAGAAUCGACCUGAAAUCAGGGAUCACACGGCCGUGUAUCCAAACUGUGUAACUCACUAAGGUCGUGUAGGUCAAAUUGCAAAUAUUCAACAAAAGUCACAUGACUGUGUGGUUGGGCCGUGCUACAAAUUGAAGUCGUGUGCUUCUAUUAUUACCUAUUAUCCAAUAGACUAAUGGUCAUGUCAUCAACCUAUGUGUGACACACAGUAGUGUGGUGCAAAAUAUACCAUUAAUGCCUAUAUAAUACCAAACUUAAUCAAUAUUCUGCUUAUUGACCAAUUGCACAAUCUUACUUACAUUAAACCUUACCAAAUCAAGAACCAAAACAUCUAUUUAAACAACUAUAAGAUCAUUCAAAUCAUUCUAAAUGAAAUUGACAUAUUUCUAAAUCAAAAAACCUAUGUACUCAUCUAAUAAGCAAAUAUAGUUCAUCAUUCAAAUAAACAUGCCAAACUCAACCAAUUUACAAUCAAAAUAUACAAUUCAUGCUUCAACCUUUAAUAAACACAAUGCCAACAUAACCACUUCUAUGCACCAUACUUAUAUCAUUCAAAUUCAACAUUAAAGUAAAAUGUCCAUUUUGUACCAAGCAUUUCACCUAUUUGAACAUCUUAUGUCACAUUCAAACAUACUAUUAAUUCACAUUAUUCCAUCACAUAUUCAUAUCAAACAACCACAUCAAUACCAACACUUAAGCUUGAUCAUCCACAUUCAAAAGUAGCUAUUAAAAAACUCCAAGUUUAACUUACCAAAUUUGCUAAUAUGCAUACACAAUUAUUGUAAUACCCCAAAAUAGGGCCUAGGAGUUUUAGUGAUAUUUUAGCAAUUUUAGCCUUAGAGUGUUCAGAAUUUUGUGACAUGGUAGAUCAGUAAUUUUUUUACUAUGGUUUUUAGAAAAUUAAAUCAAUUUUUGAAAAUCAGUUUUAAAGACCUUCAAUUUUGAAAAUUGGAUUUAUUUGUAAAAAAUUCAAAAUUGUAAGUUUUUAAGAGGCAAUUAAACUAAAUUUUAAAAAUUACCCUAAUAAACCUCCACCUACAAUUUUAUUCACAUAAAAGCUUCCCCUUUGUUUUGUGAUUGCCGUCCCUUUGCUCUCCCAACUCUCCCAAAUGAUUUUAAAUUCCAACUCCUAAUCCAUUUUUAUUUCUAUCAUCCUUCAAGCUAUAAAACUCCAUUGAAAUCAAGAAAAAGAAAACCAAAAACACCAUAGUUUCCUGCAUUGUCAAGCUUUCAGGUUUUUCGGGUUUUUGAACAAACGCUUGGUUUUUCGUCAUCUAAGGUAAUGGUUCAACCUCUAAUUAGUUUUAAAUGUUAUUUAGUCUUUAAAACCAAGUUUUUAGCCAUUAAAUUGCAUUUGAAUAAAAGCCAAAAAUUGAUCGUUUGUAACAGCCCGUUUUUUAGUGGUGACAAAACAGUGAUUUUGGGAUCACAAAUUUCUAUCGUGUUAGCCCGUAAAUAUUAUUUAUAGAAUAUUUAUGGAUUCAUUAGAGUCUUAUUAAUUUUGGUUAAGAAAUUUUAACGUUUAGAUAGCUAAUUAAAGAGAAAUGACAAAAUUGAAAAAGGUGCAAAAGUUAAUAAUUAUUGUAUUUAGAUGAUCAAAUAGCUUAAUUACAAAAUGAGGAAGGACCUAUGUAGCAAUUAGCCCUAGUUAAUAUUGUUGGACGGAAAUAGGAAUGGAAAUAAUAAAAUAAUAUAUGUUUAAUGACAAAUUUGUAAAUAAAUCAAAAUUAAAUAAAACAAAUUAAAGGAAAUAGACAUUUCUUCUUCAUUUUUUCUUCAUCUUUUGCCGAACCACCAUGAAAGCAUAGGUUAUAGUUUUGGCUAGUUCAUUUCCUUGCAUGAGUAAGUUUUUUAGCCCCAUUUUUAAUGAAUUUUAUGUUUUUUAGACCGUUGUAACUAGGUCCAACUAGCCCAUACCUUCGUUUUUGAAUAUAUUACAAAUUUUAGAAGUUUCCAUUAAUGAAUCUUGGUUUUUUUUUAUGAUAAUUAUGUGUUUGAAGCUUUGAUUGUGAUUUUUGGUUGUUUUGUAAAGUGACUUUGGUUGGUUUUUAAUUAAAGGAUUAAAUUGUUAAAAUGUUAAAAUCACAUAGUUUAUUGAUGAAUAAAAGGUGUUUUAUGGAUUUUUUUUUUUGGAGGCCUUGAUCAUUCGACUGGUAUGCUGAGUCUUUAGAAAUGGUUAAUUUGAUGAUUUUCGGGUUAAGGGACUAAAUUGCAUAAAUUGUAAAAGUUUAGGGCAAUUGUGUAAUUUUGAAAAAUAAAAGGGUAUAAAAUGUACAAUCAAUUUGAAUAUUUUUGUAAGCUAAUAACUGGGAAAUUUUACAUUUUAGAUUAAGACCCUGUUGAUUUACGUGAAAAAGGAAAAAUUACAGAAUAGCCCCUAAACUUCUGCAACUAUUACAAUUCAAUCCAAGUCAGUUCGUUCGAUUUUUAAUUUAAUAUCUAUAUGAAUUGUAUGAUGAUAUGAUAUGAAAUAGUGGAUAUAAAUUAUUCUAUUGAUGAUGUAAACUGUUUGGAAAAUGUUGCCGAAUAUUGAUACUUGGGAUAGAUGAAUGCGAGAUAGAGUACAACUUAAUGAUGGUGUGUUAUGCGAGGUUGGAGUGAAGAUUGAUGUGAUGUGCUUCAUACAUUUUUCCUGAGUAUACCAAGGUUCAGCAUUUGUUGCGAACUCUAGUGUUAUACUAUCCUGAUUUGGCAUGUUUUGGGGGCGAAUGUAUGGCAUACGGGCUAGGCACUUAGUACCGAGGCAUGUUAUCUGUUGGAUUAUCUCUUAUGAGUGUUCGGCAUGUUUUGGUUGGAUUACUUGUGUACUCGUAUCUGUAAGUCGUUCCUUAGGUCGUAAAUCGUUGUAUUAUAACUUGUUUAAUGACUCUGAAUGGCCUGACAUGUAUUUGAAAUCUUGAAUUGACUCCGUUGUGGACAUAUAUGUUUUUCCAAAAAUUAUUAAUUGAGCUUUGAAUUGAAUUAUGCAACUCACCGGUUUGACAUUGUGGAUAACAAGAAACAUUUGUUGUUGAAUUAUUUUUUAUUGAAUUGUUAUAUUUACUUUAGUAAGACUUAUUGUUUCUAUACGUCGAACUUACUAAGCUUCAAUAAGCUUACUUGUGUUAAUUUAUGUUUCUUGUAAAUACUUUUGAAGGUUGGACGACCGGAUCGGCACUCGAGUCACACUAUCCAUCCAUUUUCGGUAGUUUUUGAACGUUUGUUUUGGAUUAUAUGGCAUGUAAUAGCCUUGUUUUGUUAUUACUUUUCCUUUAUUAUGUAAAUAUAUAAAGAGUGAGCCUUAGUGCAAGUUGAUAACAUGAGCAUCACUACAAUGAUCUUGAUGUUUAUUUGGUAAAUGCCUAGCUAAUGACUUGUUAUGAAUUAUGAAGGAUGGAAGAUGUUUUUGAUAUAAACUUGUAGUAUAUGUAUGACUAAAAGGUCAUUUUGAUUUGUUGUGAAUUGUGGUGCCUAUAAUAGGCAUAUUGGUUAGAAGUUUAAGUUGUGUGAAUUGACAUGUUUGAGUGAUAACUUAUGUAGUUGUAUAAGUGUGUAUACUUGUGGUACCAUUCAAGGCACAUUGGUUAGGCAGUUAAGAUGAUUGAAUUAGCAUGAUUUGAGCUUGUUUAAUGAAUAGGUAUAAAGGCUAGUACAUGGAUUACUUAGUGUCCAAGAAAUCUUGAAAUGGUAAACUUGAUCUUUAAGGUUCAUUUAGGUGCACACGGUCUGGGACACGAGCUGCCACAUGGCCGUGUACCAUACACGGCCUACGACAUGGCCGUGUGUAUUAAGUUUGCUUGUUUUAUGGCCUAGCACAUGGUUGUGUGUCACAAGUCAGAGAGUUACAUGGUCUGGCACAUGACCUGCGACACGGCCGUGUGGCCUAACUCAGUGUGUUACAUGUUCGAAACUUACAGGGCCUGGGGAACUCACACGGCCGUGUGUCCCUUGUUUUUGAAAUUUCUCAUAUUUUUUUGAAAUUUUCUUAUUUAUUUCAAAUUAGUCCCUAAGGGUUUUAAGAUUAAUUAUUUAGUCCCUAAAGCUCGAUUUAAGUCGCGUAGAUGUAUGAUAUUAUUUUAAUUCAAUUAUUUUAUGGUAUUUGAGAAAUUAUAAUUGAAAUGAUCAUGAUUUACUUGUUUAUUUUUUUAACUUGUUGUAACAUUCUCAUAACCCUCUUCCGGUGACAGAUGCGAGUUAUGGAUGUUAAAUCGUCAAUGGUGAAAUUCAGGAUUUCACAUAAAAACGAUGUUUUAAAGUGUUUUUCAAUUAUUUUUAACAUGAUUAGAAGGUUUCAAACUUACUUUGAAGUUUCGUUAAAGAUUUCUUGAGUUUUAAUGAAUUGUCGAAAAAUAGCCAUAAAACAUGUCGAAAAAGUCGAUACCAUGAAUUGAGUAGUUUACCAUAGUUUAAGGGUUGGAAAUUAGUCGUAGAUGAAUAAUUAGAUGAAUGAAACUCGUUUUAGGCGAAAAGAUUAAGUGUAGACCGAGAUAUUUGCAUUUCAAGUUGGUUAUCUUAAAGAUUCCAAUUACAUUAGAACUUAGUUUAGGCUUAUGUUGUUUAUUGCUUGUGGUGAGUCCUUGGCUAAUUUGUGAAUUUAUUGUUGUGUGAAUCUGUUGUGUUGAAGUUCUGGAUUCAAUAGGACCUUCUACGAAAAGAGAUAAAGGCAAGGAAAAGCUAAUUUGAGUUUUCAGCUUUUCGGUGAAAGCAUAAUUGGUGAUUGUUUGAAAUAAUUGCUUAUGGACAUGAUUCAAUGUGUUAUUUCAGAAUUUAGUAGUAGCGUAAAACCCUACUCUAAAUUCUAAGUGUAAACUUUCUCAUACCUAUGUUAACUUGUGAACUAUGUGCUUAUGUGUUUGUGAAUAUGUGAAUUGAGAUGAGAUGCUAUUAUAAUAGCCCGUUUUCAGUGAAAUCGAAACAGUAGUAUUAGGACCACAAAUUCGAUGAGUAAAUUUUUAUUUUAUUAUUAUUUUAAUGUCUAUGGGAUGUUAGUAAGGUCGUAUUAAAAUUUCGUUAAGAAAUUUUGAUGUUUGCAUGGUUCAUUAAGUGAAAAGGACUAAAUCGUAAAAAGUACAAAAGUAGAGUUCUAUUAGUUAAAGGUAUUUAACGAUUAUGAAACUCUAAAUUCAAUGGACUUAAUUGGAAAUUAGACCAUUAAAAAUGUUAGUGGACUUUUAUGGACACAAUUUAAAUGAUUUUUAAGUUAAAAGCUAAGGUUAAAAUGGUAAAUUAAUUAAUUAGCCUAAAAUUAAAGUAAAGAACAGAUGAAUCAUCUUCUUUAAGUUUCUUCUUCAUCGAAAUUAGGCAUAGGAAACCCCAUUGUUGAAGCUUGAGGGUUCAGUUGAGCUUUUUUUUAUUGCACGGUUUGAAUUUUAACUCCGUUUUUAAUUAUUUCUAUGUUUUUGAAGUCAUUUUAGCUUAAUUUAGCUAGUCUAGGGAUCAAUUUGUAAAACUAUUAAAUAUUGAGAGUUAUGCCAUGAAUGCUUUUGUGUGAUUCUUGAUAUUUAAUGAUAGAUUAUGAGUCCUUGUUGAUAAAUAAACAAAUUUUGUAAAGUGACUUUUGAUGAAAAUUAUAUUUAGGGACUUGUUUGUAAAUUAGUAAAAUUUCAAGUUAAAUUUAUGAAAUGAUGGUUUGUAUGAGUUGAUAUAGGUCCCUAAUGAAAUUGGUUAGCUUGAAUAGGGAAUAAAAAUCUUUAGAUUUCAAUUUAUGAGCUUAAGGACUAAAUUGUGAAAAGUUAAAAUAUUAGGGGAAAAUAGUAAUUUUGCAAAAAUAUGAAAUGUGGACUAAAUUGAAUGCUAGGGAUAUUAAAUGGAUUAAAUUUUUCUAUUUAGAUCAAGAUAGACCAUGUACGAAUCUAGAUCGGGGAAAAGCUUAAGCCUCGGAUUAGUUGAUCUCGUUUAUACACCCUAGUCGUCGAGGUAAGUUUGUAUGUACAGAUUGCUACAUUCAUGUCAUUCAAUUGUAUGUUAUUAUGUAAUUACAAUGCUAUUAAUCAAUAUAUAUCCAAAGAAAUGCCAUGACUAUUAUCGAGUACCAGUUGAACCUUAGGAAUUCGUAGGAUACAAAUGACAUGUCAUUAGUGAUUUCAUGUUUUAGAUGUUGAUCUUGAAUGUCCUACUGAUGGCUGAGGUCCUGCAUUUUUUAUGGAUACUCCAUAGCUCGUGUGAGCAGCAUCAUGUAGCUUACAUUCUAACCCACAACUCGUGUGAGCAGGCUCAUUUCAUAGCUCAUGUGAGCAAUGAUGUAAAGGAAAGUUUACGUUUAUAUGUUUAAGCACACUUCGUGUGAGCUUUCCCAAGUAUCCAAUGAUAUUCUAGAUGGUUCAACGGGCAUGAAAAGGAAAGUAAAUGUUAAGUGUUCAAAUGAAAUAUAUCAUGUACUUAUGAAAAGGAUAUGGUGAUUGGUAUGAACAAAAAUGUAAGUUACUUGUUAUGAAUGAAAUCAUUUGAACCAUGUAUAAAUGCACUAACUUGUGUAUUUGUUGAUGUUGUAUAGGCAUUGUGCCAAGUUUGUGGUAUUAGUUGAUGCUUUAAUUAAUCUAUUUACAUUAUACAAAUGAAUGGUAAGUUAUGUUUCAUAUUCUACGAACUUACUAAGCAUUAUGUGCUUAAGUAGUUUCUUUCCUAUGUUUUAUAAAUAAUCGGAGCUCGAUCAGUUUGGAAGCUUAUUGGAGAUCUAUCACACUAUCUUGCAUAAAUAUUGGUAGUUUUUGAUGUUUUGGCCAAGGUUAUAAUUGCAUGUAUAGGUGGACUUAUAAUGAUGUUUAGUUGAAUGCUUAGAUGUUGAUUUGGUACGUAAAAUUUAUUUGGCUUAGUACAUUUGAUGCCUUACUAGUUUGUGUCAAUGUGUUAUCUUGUUGCAUGUUUGAAUGGCUCAAAUGGCAAGAUUUUGUGGUGGAAUGGUAAUGGUCAAAUUGUGGCAUGUUAGGUAAGUUUUAAAGCUAAUAGUUGAUGAAUUAAAAGUGGUAAAGUAUGCAUGUUUAAGUAAAUUUGGAUGUUUGCAAUUGAGGUGCCUUGAAUGACAUAUUGGUUAGUGGAUUUUAGGACUUCUGAAUUGGUCAUUAUAUGCAUGUUUUGGUAAGGUUUUGAUGUCUUGAUUAUGUGCACAAAAUGGAUAUAGGUGUAUGCAUGAUUUGGUGUUGAAAAUGGCUUGAUUUUGGGCAAAUUUAUGUCCACACAGACGUGUGACUCAACCAUGUGUGACACACGGCGUGACGACACGGCCCGUGGGGCUAUUUUAAGAGUUACACGGCCUGACACACGAGUCUAUGACAUAGCCGUGUGACCCUACUCAGAGAGUUACACGGGUAAGGAUAAGGGCUGGUACACGACAGUGUGUCCCUAGUCCGAAGGUUACAUGGCCUGAGACACGGGCGUAUGUCUCAGCCAUGUGAGGCAUACGGCCAGGUCACACAGCCAUGUGACCCAUGUAGUCAAAAUUUUCUAACUUUUUCUUAAACUUUUCAAAUGUUUCCAAUUUGGUCCUGAAUUCUUUCUAAGGUGUUUCUAGGGCCUCGAGGGCUCGAUUAAGGGACGAUAUGUAUGUGAAGGAAAGUAUUAUAAUAUGUUUUCAAUGAUGUAUGAAAUGUACGUUUUAAUGUUUUGUUUGUACGAUAAUGCUUCGUAACCCUAAUCUGGUGACGGAUGUGGGUUAGGGGUGAUAUGUGGUUAUGAUAACUGUUGUCAAAGUGCUAAUGUGUACAAGUUAUGUAUAUGUUAAAUGUUAGUGACAGUGAUUAACUAAAAAUACAAAUAUGCAGUGAUAGUGUACGGAUAAUCGAUAAGUGAUAUGUUAUUGAUUUCAGAUAUUUUGGCCUUGUGAUCUUGAAACCGUGGGAUAUAGUUGGCAUGCCAUAAGAUUGUGAGUACUCAACUAUAUGUACAGUGAUUUUAGGUGUUGAGGCCUUGGGACAUGUUGGAAGGAUAAAGGAAUGUGAGCUAAGCUCCAUUUAACGGGACAUGUGAGGGGAAAUAAGGAGAGUGUUAGAUUUAUGCUUCACUUUUGGGACAUGUUUGACUCUAUGAGUCUAUGUGGUGUGUUGUAGAUCAGUGUGUCCGAUGAGUGAUAAUAAAGCUCUCUUUUAUAUUUCAUAGCUCAAGUGCCAAAUUAUCUUAAAUUAUGAAUAUGUGUGUAUUGUGAUAUGUGUUUAUAUGACAUGUGACCAUUAUGCAAUUUAUCUAUAAACAUGUUUUGAUUAUUGUGAUAUAUGCUUAAAUGUUAUGUGAUUAUAUGUGUAAUGUGAUAUACGCUUAAAAGUGAAUACGAUUACCAUGUAAAUGAACUAGUAAAUAAUGCACGAGUAAGAAUAAUAUGACACUAAAGUUGAAACUGUUGAGGUUGUGCUAUAUGGUUGUUUCGUUAAUGCUUGAUGAAUAGUUUUCGUGUAGUUGUUCUAGGCAUUCACUGAUCUUGUUAAGCUCACCCAUUCAUUCUUAAACCAUUGUAGAUUAGUAGUGUGCCGGUGUGAGCGGUGCGAUUUCCAAAUGGGGAUUCAAGCAAGUCCAUUUCUGUGAUUUCAUAGGUGUUAUUGUCAUUUGUUUAUGUUUUGGGAAUAAGGCAAUGUGGUAGACUUGUUUAUGGUCAUGUUAACUUCUAGACAUUUUAUUGGUUUUUGGUUCAGUUUAUAAUGAUUACAUGUUAUCGUUAUGCUUGGGUUCAUGAACAUGAGGAUGGAUUGACAUUACUUGCUCGAAUAUGAUUUUGCGAUAUUGAACUGUUAAUUAGGCCGUUGAAUGAUUAUUUGUCGAAGUAAUUGAUGUAUGAUGUUUAAGAACUAAAUUGGAAUGGAUUAAUUGCUUAUGUAUGCUUCAUUUUUUAGGUCUGGGGUAGAGGUAUCGAUAAAUGGGUUUUAAAAUCGAUACCUCUGUGUUUUGAAACGUAUAGGGAGUCAGAAUAGAGAUUUGGUAUCGAUACCUUUGCAAGAGUAUCGAUACUCAGGGUUAAAAUAUCGAAAUUUCAUGGCAAGUACCGAUAAUUUUCGAGACUUUGGCUUUUAAUUGAGAAAUAGAAUGCAUGUUUGGUAUCGUUUUCCUAGGUGGUAUCGAUACCACUUAAAGAAAAUAUCAAUACCCUAGUGUCAGUACCGAUACCUACAUGAUUGUCUUGAAAAUUUUGCUAAGUGGUCCUAAUGCAUUUUUAAUCAUUAUAAGUUUAUUUAAAGUAUCAUUGGCAUGUUUUAAUGAUGGUUGAUAUAUGUCUGACUAAAAAUUUAUAAGAUCAUUGAUAAAGAGGAUGAUUUCUUAAUAAUGUGUCAAUUUACUAUAAGUAUGACAUGAGACGGUGGUGUGACAUCUUUAUAUUCGAACUUGGCAACUAGGCCGAGUAUAGGGUCUUACAAUUUUAUACAUCACAACUCAAUCUUAAAUAAUUUCAACUAUGAUCUCAAACAUAUCAAAAUAUUAAAAUGACUCCAUUAGGUACAUGCUCUAUUGCAUUCUAUCACAAUGCAUAUCCAAUUUACCCUAUAGCCAAAUCGCAUUAAUUGAAUCCUCUUAACCUAAUUUGGAUUCUUAGAAUGAAUAUUCAGUUUAGUCAACCUGCAUCUCAUCUAGCACCGCAAUGUACUAUCAACCAUCCCAAAAUAAACUUGUACAUUUAAUAGAGUAACCAACUUCUAACUUCAUCGCAUAAUUCAAACUAUAUCCCAUAAUUCUUAUUUCAACAUUAAUUCAUCAAUUUAUCAAGUGACAUAACAUACUUUAACCCAAAUUCUUUUAAUAGCUUACCUUAAUACUAUAUAAUGCAAUAUAUCAUGAAUAUUCAUUAACUAUAAUUAGUUUUGGGUUAUAGAAAUACAAACCGAAAGCUCGCGUCAUUCGUCGUCGACUCUCGUCUUCCCUUUCCCUUUUGGUGAUCCUGCGUUGUUUUUAGCUAGGAAUAAUAAUUUAGUAAUGGUAUAAUAUCAAAUUCUAUUCACAUCACAUUCAAUUUCAAGGUCAUAUAUAUUUUGCAAGUUAUUCAAUUUAAUCAUCUAUCGGAAUAAUCAAUUAAAUUUAUACUAUUACUAUUCGAUCAAUCAUAAUUGGAUUUCAACUAUUUAAAUAUCUCAAAUUGUAAUUCAUCAUAUUCAAUUUUUUAGUCAAUUUAUCAUUUAUUUACGAUUUAGUCCAUAUCACACCUUUUUGUACCAAAUUGUAAACAAUUCAAUUUACAACAACCCAAAAAUAAUUUCAUAAGCCUACCAUAUAAAAUUACUUGGUUAAAUCAGUAAACAAGUUAAAACUUUAAGGACUAUUCAACAAUUCUGUCUUUUUUCGAUUAUUUCCAAUUUGCUCCAAUUUUCGAUCUAUAUAAUUAUUUCAUCCAAUUUAUCAAUACCACACAUAUUAAUCAUCCUAUUAUAUGCAUGUAUCAGUUCAAAUUAAUUAUUUUAAUGCCCCUAAAAUUUUGUAUUUUAUUCAAUUUAGUCCCUAAAAUCAAAAUUACCAUAACUUUCAAAUUUGAUUUCGAAAUCAAUCUCAGUUACAUCCUUCUAAGACCUUAUAUUGUUCGUAAUUAAAAAAAUUUAAUACCAAUUUCAUUUACAUUUUAGUCCGUAUGUUCAAAACUAACUAUUUUCACUUUACAAACUAGUCUUUUUUUAUAUCUAAGCACCAAAUCUAACCAAAUAACAUCAAUUUUAUUAAGAAUUCAUCAACGAAAACAUUUAGAAACUUUAACACUUUCGAAAAUCAAUAUAAGAAUUAACUAAAUUAAGCUCUUGAGACCUCAAAAAUAUAAAAUACACAAUAAACAGAUUAAUUUCGCAUACCAUACACCAAGGCCGAAUGCUUGAAGUUAAGAACCCCAACUUUCUUUGUUGAAUGCUCUGUGAGGAAGAUGAAAGAAAAAUGAAUGGUUAUUCUCUCUUUCCUUCCACUUUCAUAUUUGUUCUUGUUAUUUUAUUUUUAUUUUACAUAUUUUAAGUUCCUUAGAUUUUAUUAUUAAUUUAGCUAAACAUGAACAUAAAACGUUCACCAUAGUUUUAAAUGGCAAAAUUGGUUUAAUUGCUACAUAAGUCUUUUAACAAUUAAAAACCUAUAGUUAUUAACUUCUUCCACUUUUAUAAUUCAGUCAUUGUACCUUAAUUAACUAAUCGUUUGACAAAAUUAAGGAACCAAAAUUUAGCUAAACUUAUGUUCACCUCAUAAAUAUUAAAUAAUAAUAUUUACGGACUCGGUCAUCGAAAAUAGGGUUCUGAAAUCAUUAUUUUCAACACCACUGACUUUCGGGUAGUUACACUUUAAUUAACUUUAAUUUAUUUAGUUAAUCUACUAUUAACAUUACCAGCCACUAAAACCCACCUUGACAUAUUCUAAUUGUUAUUUAAGUCCUUAAGCCAUUUUCUAAUUAAAAAUUCUAUAGCGAUUAAACUUUACAAUUUAGUCCCUGGACCUUAAUUAAUCACUAAUUCAGCUAAAUUACCUAUCCAAAAUUCAAUUCACUUAUAUAAUAAGACUGUAGUUCUCUUUAUUUAAUAUUUAUGAAAAUGGAGUUUUGAACUUGCGAUUUUCGGCACCAUUGAAAACCAAGUCGUUACAAAUUUAAUCAAAAUACCAAAAGAUAGAAAGUAUUUUUAAUGAAUGAUAUAUAAAGACACUAAGUUUUUAUAAGAAAAUGAGAGAUAUGAUUUGUAUCAUGAGAAAUGUUAAGGUAAAUAAAUGGAUAUGUUACUAAAAUAUGAUUUUAUAUGGCUAAAUUGAAUAAUAAUCAAAAGUAUAAUGACUAUAUGCUUUCAAUUGAAAGUUAAUACAAACAAUCAUGGAAAAGUAAAUAUUUUCACUAAAACGAUUUCUAGACAAUCACCAUAUUGAAAUUUCACCAAAAAAAAUUAGAAAGUGAAUUAAAUAUUGAACGAAGUAUGAAAUUAAAUCUUAAUGAAUUUAGUUAUUAUAGAAGAAACAAUGUAAGUAUUGGGAUUGUAUUGAAUGAGAUAUAUGCAUUCUAGUGAGACAAGGUCAGAUGAAUUUCAAGUUGCUCUAUUCUAACUUUGAAAAAUCAUUAAAAAUUAUAAAAAAAAAUAACUAAGAGAUAAAUAUUAUAUGUAUGAAAAAUCUCAAUGAGCCUAGAAACAAAUGACAACCUUAUAUGAAUUAUAUACUAAUAGAUAAAUUUAUUUUAGUAUAGGUCAAAGUUGCCUAGUAGCAGAACAUACGAGGUUUUUUUAAAAAAAUACUGCAUUAAUUGACUUGUGAGAAAAUUUUGAAAUUUUUAUGAUAAAAAGUUCAUUUAGUCUAAUUUCAAAAAUAACAAGCGGAUCUUAAUUUUGAAUUUUUUAAGCCAAGAUAUAAAUAUUUUAUUGAUUGUUACUCAAGUAGACAAGAGUAUAUGUGUAAUUAGUGAAUGAAUAAUUAAUAUUAUAUAUAGGCAUGCUAUACUAAAAGUCAAAGAUUCUCAUACAUAUACAUGUACAUAAAGGAUAUGGGAUGUAGAGGAAGAAAAUAAUAAAAGAGUUCUAAUGCUAAAAAAUUGUUAUAAGUGAUAGAAUUACUAAUAUGUAAGAGAAGUUCAAACGAAAUUGUUGGGGCAUUAAGUGAUUAAUUGUUUUUAAGUAUAAAGGGGCUAAAACGUGGGGGGGCUUAAAUGUUAUUUUACCCACCACGUUGGGGGUUUACAAAUUGCUCCCAUGAGCAGUUACCGGGGCGAGAAGAGAGAAUUAAAAAGAGGUGGAGAACGGUUUUAAGGGGAAGUUAAGAGGGAGUUGAGUAAGAGAAGAAGAAAAAGAGAACUCCCAAGACCAUCACCAUGGUCAUCAUCAGACCCAUCACACACUACCAUCUUUUUUAAACUUGAUUCUCACAGAUCAACCUUCAACCAUCUAUCAGUCACCAUAAAUCCAUGACCAUUGCCAUUCGUCAUUACAGUAUAAAGAGUACUCAAAGUCAACAAUUCAAAGGAUUUGAUAGAAGCACAACUAGUGGUUCUGGACCAAGCAAAUAAAAGGGCAGGGGAAUGUCGUUACUCGAUAGUGCGCCGUCAACUUCUAUUCUGAAACAUAGAAUGUUUCAAAACAAUGCUUUUGGCUCUUCAAUUAUCUUUUGGUUAUGGGUUUGUGAUUCUUUGAGGGCCUUUAAGAGUCCUUGACCUUAACGUGCCCCACAAGAGCAUUCUUCGCCUCUUGGAAGUUGUAAACAAUUUUUGUUCACCCAAAUACAACAACAACAAGCAAUUUGAUAGAUGACCCAAUAAUUAAACCAAUUCCAGAAAAAAAAAAUUGACAAGAGUGAUGCGAAGGAACUUAGAUAAUUUGAUAGAUGACCCAAUAAUUAAACCAAUUCCAGAAAAAAAAAUUGACAAGAGUGAUGCGAAGGAACUUAGAUAAUUUGAUAGAUGACCCACUAAUUAAACCAAUUCCAGAAAAAAAAAUUGACAAGAGUGAUGCGAAGGAACUUAGAUCUUACUUACUUCAACCUCCAUCAAGUUAUAUAAACGCCAUCAAAUGUAAAGCUUCCUAAGAAGCAUGAUUCUACUCCUAAGCCUAACUUCCACCAACAGCUUUGAACAACUCACUGAAGGAGCACCAAGUAUUUGCGUUGAAGAAAGCUUUUUUUUUU